rnacentral:lncRNA from 1 species
UUCAGUUGUGUUUUAGAAAAAAAAAAGAGAGAGGAAAGAGUUUAGGGGCUCUGGGCAUGGACGAUUUUCGGUGAUCGGACCGCCGUUCUUCUGUCGCUGGUGACCACCGUAUACGGCGGUCGGAAGUGUAAAAUCGUCCCCUUUUAACCCUUUUGCUCCCCUUAACCUAGGUCCGUAGUUGUAGCCCCCAAAAACCUCACGAAUGCUGCUGGAAGUCGAAAGAAACCUCUCGGUUCUAAUCUCUCCGAUCACCUCCUCAAAAACGGUAAAAGUUCAUAUUUUUUUAUGUAUUUAUCUACGAAUAACAGUGGUAAAAGAGAAAAGAAACAUAGAAAUCACCUUUCUCUUGUUCGAUUGCUUCUCAAUAUUGGUUUGUGUUUGUAUUGUUUUGUUCUUUUUUGAAUAUUCGGAAAGAAAAAAAAAAAGAAAAUGCCCCCCCUUACAUUCGUUUUUUGUUGGCUUUUAUGGCCGAAUGAAAUACAACAUUUUUCUACUGUUUUGUGUUGUCUGCUGCUUCUUUUGUGCUUUGCAUGUUUCCUUUCAUUUUGCAAGUGAUACGGGCGAUGGGACGGGGUUAGGUGGUGGCAACAGACAGAAGGAUGGGCAUGCUGGCCUAGGCACAACGGCUGACAGUCGGGGCAAGGAUUAGGGUUUCCAAAUGUUAGGCUAUUUGGGUUUUUUUUGUUUGGGUUAGUGUAGGUAUUGGGCUUGGGGUAUUUGGGGCUUAAGUGUUUAGGUUAGUUUGGGUUUUGAUAUAAAUGGGUUUAAGUGGGUCUGAUGGGUUAAGGUUUGGGUAGUGGGUCUGGUUGUAAUUGGGUUUUGGGUAUUUGUAUUUGGGCCCGGGCAAUGGGUCAUUUAGUUAUUGGGCCAUUCGGGUUUGAUUGUAAACAGGUCAAAAUUGGCCUACAACAGAGAUCGUGUAACCUUUAUUACUAUGAAAAUAAUAUUAUUUUAAAAUUUGUAUGAAUUAUUAUUUAUGGAAUAAUAUUGUUUUAAAAAGUCA